GACGAACGCUGGCGGCGUGCUUAACACAUGCAAGUCGAACGGAAAGGCCCUGCUUUUGUGGGGUGCUCGAGUGGCGAACGGGUGAGUAACACGUGAGUAACCUGCCCUUGACUUUGGGAUAACUUCAGGAAACUGGGGCUAAUACCGGAUAGGAGCUCCUGCUGCAUGGUGGGGGUUGGAAAGUUUCGGCGGUUGGGGAUGGACUCGCGGCUUAUCAGCUUGUUGGUGGGGUAGUGGCUUACCAAGGCUUUGACGGGUAGCCGGCCUGAGAGGGUGACCGGCCACAUUGCGACUGAGAUACGGCCCAGACUCCUACGGGAGGCAGCAGUGGGGAAUAUUGCACAGUGGGCGGAAGCCUGAUGCAGCAACGCCGCGUGCGGGAUGACGGCCUUCGGGUUGUAAUCCGCUUUCGCCUGUGACGAAGCGUGAGUGACGGUAAUGGGUAAAGAAGCACCGGCUAACUACGUG
rnacentral:rRNA from 1 species